rnacentral:rRNA from 1 species
GUUGACGCGGAGGGUCAUUACCGAGUUUACAACUCCCAAACCCAAUGUGAACCAUACCAAACUGUUGCCUCGGCGGGGUCACGCCCCGGGUGCGUCGCAGCCCCGGAACCAGGCGCCCGCCGGAGGGACCAACCAAACUCUUUACUGUAGUCCCCUCGCGGACGUUAUUUCUUACAGCUCUGAGCAAAAAUUCAAAAUGAAUCAAAACUUUCAACAACGGAUCUCUUGGUUCUGGCAUCGAUGAAGAACGCAGCGAAAUGCGAUAAGUAAUGUGAAUUGCAGAAUUCAGUGAAUCAUCGAAUCUUUGAACGCACAUUGCGCCCGCCAGUAUUCUGGCGGGCAUGCCUGUCCGAGCGUCAUUUCAACCCUCGAACCCCUCCGGGGGGUCGGCGUUGGGGAUCGGGAACCCCUCAGACGGGAUCCCGGCCCCGAAAUACAGUGGCGGUCUCGCCGCAGCCUCUCCUGCGCAGUAGUUUGCACAACUCGCACCGGGAGCGCGGCGCGUCCACGUCCGUAAAACACCCAACUUCUGAAAUGUUGACCUCGGAUCAGGUAGGAAUACCCGCUGAACUUAAGCAUAUCAUAAAAGCGGGAGGAAACAAAAAAAAGAG